AUUGAACGCUGGCGGCAUGCCUUACACAUGCAAGUCGAACGGCAGCACGGGUGCUUGCACCUGGUGGCGAGUGGCGAACGGGUGAGUAAUACAUCGGAACAUGUCCUGUAGUGGGGGGUAGCCCGGCGAAAGCCGGAUUAAUACCGCAUACGAUCUACGGAUGAAAGCGGGGGACCUUCGGGCCUCGCGCUAUAGGGUUGGCCGAUGGCUGAUUAGCUAGUUGGUGGGGUAAAGGCCUACCAAGGCGACGAUCAGGAGCUGGUCUGAGAGGACGACAAGCCACACUGGGACUGGGCCACGGCCCAGACUCCUACGGGAGGCAGCAGUGGGGAAUUUUGGACAAUGGGCGAAAGCCUGAUCCAGCAAUGCCGCGUGUGUGAAGAAGGCCUUCGGGUUGUAAAGCACUUUUGUCCGGAAAGAAAUCCUUGGCCCUAAUACGGUCGGGGGAUGACGGUACCGGAUGAAUAAGCACCGGCUAACUACGUG
rnacentral:rRNA from 1 species